UGUAGAGUUCAUGUUCUUAGUAUGUGUUCUUUUUCCGGGCACUACCCAUUUGAAAAGUCCCUGCAUUCAAUAACUAAUCAAUUACAAACAAAAUGCAGUUGGCAGUCAUGUGACUGCAGGGGUCUCUAAAUCUUAGUUUUAUUGCCGUGAAACACAUUUCUGUAAAAAGCCAACUUAAUAGGGCCUUUUCUUGUUUAAAACCAAUAAACAAAGCAAAACGGUAUAAUUGUGUGUCCCAGGAAAAGUAAAAGCAACUAUCAAGUUCUUAAAUUCUUCAGAACUUCUUUGUGUUUUAAUGCUUUCAUAAAAGUUCUUUGUUAAUCGCCUAAGUUAUCGUUCAAUACAUGGACUUUCCUUGAUGGUCCUAUAAAAAAUAGUCAAGAUAAGACGUUCUUCGAUCAACUUAAAUGUCACAUAAGAAGUGCUUUAACAGCAAAGAGAUUUGGCUGCCCUCAAAGACUGAUAUCAAUAGCGCGAAGAGACAUUGUUGCAUAAUAAACGAAAUGAGUAUUCCCAUUGCCCAUCCAUGGAACCAAUUCGGAUACCAUAAUGCCAAGACACGCGAGCCGGCUCAACGAACGGGGUCGUUUUGAAUUGAGUUCCGAGCGGCUAGGUAAUUAAAAAUAAUAAGUUAAUUGCCUGAUUAGAAUAAUUUUCCGUUUCAUGUAUGUGAGCCUCAGUUUUUUUUUUUUGUGGUCGAGUGUCAUAAACGAUAUCUGAAUGGCAAAAGCUUUUGGGGAAUUGUGUUGGUUGUGGGGUUUCGCUGGCUUGGUGCGGAUGGUUCCGACUAUCUCGUAAAUUAGUCUUGUGACAAACGAUGACAGUGCGGACGGCUUGUUGCUCUGUGCAAACAAACCAACCCCAACCCCACCCCACCCCACCCACGGCCACACACCCUGCUUGCAACAUCGAUUAAACUUUGACAAAGUUGCGAUUAUUUUAUUGACAAACUAGCGACCUUGGCGUUGACAGCCGGUGACGUCACUGCGGCACUGGCUGGCACCCAGAUCCUGGCCUAUGUACAAUAUACCCCAAUCCAGCAUCCCAACUUACCAAUGACGGAAACGCACUUCUCGUUCACAACUCCACUGGGCAGGAGAUGGAAGUCGAACUCCGUGCCAUUAGCCACCACAGUGUGUCCAGCGUUGUUGCCGC
rnacentral:sRNA from 1 species